AGAAAAAAAUUAUCUCGCUAAAACAAAGUUUAAAAAGAAUAACAUAUUACCCUCUACAAUCCAGAUAAUAUAUUAUAGAUGGAGCAAAUUCUAUGGCAGCUGCUUGUUUCUCACCGAUAACAAAGAACAACUUCUUUGUUAACCAUUUCUUCAAAAAAGAAACAAAGAAGUUGUCAUAAUUUCUUAGCCACAAAUGAAUCUUCCUAACAACAUUUAUAGUGUUGUCUUAACAAGUUCAAAUCUUAGACAGAAAAAAUGAAAAUCACAUGCAAACUUAUGAAUUCAGCAAAAUGUGUGAGUUUUGAGUAAUCACAGCAAGACCAUGAACCCAAAACGCAAUUUUUCUUGAGGUGACAUUAUUUCAAUAACAAGUUUGUAGUUCAUGAGCAACUGACAUACAACAUUAGAAUAAGAUUCCAACCAAAACUUUCCCUCCAGAAAUCAUGUAAUGAAAAUAGGAAUCAACUCUGAAGAAACCAUGUUUUUUUUUUGAAAGUAUGAAAAUAACAGUACACAAAAUAGGGAAAAAAAAAA
rnacentral:lncRNA from 1 species